UGCAAGUCGAGCGAGAAGCUUCCUGCUUGCAGGAGGUGGAAAGCGGCGCAAGGGAGAGUAACGCGUAGUUACCUACCCCAGGGUCCGGAAUAGCGGCGGGAAACUGCCGGUAAUGCCGGAUAAUAUCUUUGGAUCAAAGGUGUGAUUCCGCCCUGGGAGGGGACUGCGUCCUAUUAGCUUGUUGGUGGGGUAACGGCCUACCAAGGCAACGAUGGGUACCGGGCGUGAGAGCGUGGCCCGGCUCACUGGGACUGAGACACUGCCCAGACACCUACGGGUGGCUGCAGUCGAGAAUCUUCGGCAAUGGACGAAAGUCUGACCGAGCGACGCCGCGUGUGGGAUGAAGGCUUUCGGGUUGUAAACCACUGUCAGAGGGGAGGAAAUCCUUGAGGGCAAUCCCUCUUGGUUGACCUAUCCUCAGAGGAAGUACGGGCUAAGUACGUGCCAGCAGCCGCGGUAAUACGUACCGUACAAACGUUAUUCGGAAUUACUGGGCUUAAAGGGUGCGUAGGCGGUGCGGUCAGUUGGGUGUGAAAUCCCUCGGCUCAACCGAGGAACUGCGCCCAAUACUGCCGUACUCGAGGGGGACAGAGGUAAGCGGAACUGAUGGUGGAGCGGUGAAAUGCGUUGAUAUCAUCAGGAACACCAGUAGCGAAAGCGGCUUACU
rnacentral:rRNA from 1 species